ensembl:rRNA 5S_rRNA 5S ribosomal RNA
GUCUACUGCCAUACCACCCUGAACACGCCCGAUCUCGUCUGAUCUCGGAAGCUAAGCAGGGUCAGGCCUGGUUAGUACUUGGAUGGGAGAAAGAUACCUCAGCACUGAAUUUUUCUUCAAUGCAGUGGAGG